rnacentral:rRNA from 1 species
AACUUUCAGCAAUGGAUCUCUUGGCUCUCGCAUCGAUGAAGAACGCAGCGAAUUGCGAUAUGUAAUGUGAAUUGCAGAUUUCAGUGAAUCAUCGAAUCUUUGAACGCAUCUUGCGCUCCUUGGUAUUCCGAGGAGCAUGCCUGUUUGAGUGUCG